rnacentral:rRNA from 1 species
UACGAAGGGGGCUAGCGUUGCUCGGAAUCACUGGGCGUAAAGGGUGCGUAGGCGGGUCUUAAGUCAGGGGUGAAAUCCUGGAGCUCAACUCCAGAACUGCCUUUGAUACUGAGGAUCUCGAGUUCGGGAGAGGUGAGUGGAACUGCGAGUGUAGAGGUGAAAUUCGUAGAUAUUCGCAAGAACACCAGUGGCGAAGGCGGCUCACUGGCCCGAUACUGACGCUGAGGCACGAAAGCGUGGGGAGCAAACAGG